rnacentral:lncRNA from 1 species
UGUUUAUUAAGUCAUGAUCUCCAAAAUCCCAAUACAAGAAGCAAGGUAAUCAGACAUCUUAGCUAAAGUUGAAUAUGACAUUUCUGUCUAAAUAACAAGUGAUGAGCUCCAACCAUACACUAGGUUAUGCUAACAUUACCUAUCACAAACCCUCAAGGACGUAGGGCAUGAGUACUGAACAUAACCCAUCCCUCUAGUUUUCCAAUUGUACAUAUGAGCUAAUUAAAAUGGUCAUAUGAAGACUCCACGAGUCAUGACACAAUUAAGACUUUACAGUUCUUCAAAGACAAUUCAGCAGAUCGCAAGUAUUUGAAGUAGCAAAUAAGGAUAUAAAAAAUUGAAGGACAGCACAAGAAAU